rnacentral:tRNA from 1 species
GCGGGAUUAGUACACCGGUAGUACGUCGCCUUCCCAAGGCGAAAAAGCGGGUUCAAUUCCCGUAUCCCGCU